GGGCCCGUAGCUCAGCCUGGCAGAGCGGCGGGCUUUUAAGCGGAGGAGACCCGUAGGCCCCGGGUUCAAAUCCCGGCGGGCCCGCCA
rnacentral:tRNA from 1 species